AUGAACGCUGGCGGCGUGCCUAAUACAUGCAAGUCGAGCGAACGGACGAGAAGCUUGCUUCUCUGAUGUUAGCGGCGGACGGGUGAGUAACACGUGGAUAACCUACCUAUAAGACUGGGAUAACUUCGGGAAACCGGAGCUAAUACCGGAUAAUAUUUUGAACCGCAUGGUUCAAAAGUGAAAGACGGUCUUGCUGUCACUUAUAGAUGGAUCCGCGCUGCAUUAGCUAGUUGGUAAGGUAACGGCUUACCAAGGCAACGAUGCAUAGCCGACCUGAGAGGGUGAUCGGCCACACUGGAACUGAGACACGGUCCAGACUCCUACGGGAGGCAGCAGUAGGGAAUCUUCCGCAAUGGGCGAAAGCCUGACGGAGCAACGCCGCGUGAAUGAUGAAGGUCUUCGGAUCGUAAAACUCUGUUAUUAGGGAAGAACAUAUGUGUAAGUAACUGUGCACAUCUUGACGGUACCUAAUCAGAAAGCCACGGCUAACUACGUG
rnacentral:rRNA from 1 species